rnacentral:rRNA from 1 species
GACGAACGCUGGGGGCGUGCUUAACACAUGCAAGUCGAACGGAAAGGCCCUGCUUUUGUGGGGUGCUCGAGUGGCGAACGGGUGAGUAACCCGUGAGUAACCUGCCCUUGACUUUGGGAUAACUUCAGGAAACUGGGGCUAAUACCGGAUAGGAGCUCCUGCUGCAUGGUGGGGGUUGGAAAGUUUCGGCGGUUGUGGAUGGACUCGCGGCUGAUCAGCUUGUUGGUGGGGUAGUGGCUUACCAGGGCUUUGACGGGUAGCCGGCCUGAGAGGGUGACCGGCCACAUUGGGACUGAGAUACGGCCCAGACUCCUACGGGGGGCAGCAGUGGGGAAUAUUGCACAAUGGGCGGAAGCCUGAUGCAGCAACGCCGCGUGCGGGAUGACGGCCUUCGGGUUGUAAACCGCUUUCGCCUGUGACGAAGCGUGAGUGACGGUAAUGGGUAAAGAAGCACCGGCUAACUACGUG